rnacentral:rRNA from 1 species
UAGUCCACGCCGUAAACGAUGUCUACUAGCCGUUGGGGAACUUGAUUCUUUAGUGGCGCAGCUAACGCACUAAGUAGACCGCCUGGGGAGUACGGCCGCAAGGUUAAAACUCAAAUGAAUUGACGGGGGCCCGCACAAGCGGUGGAGCAUGUGGUUUAAUUCGAUGCAACGCGAAGAACCUUACCAGGUCUUGACAUACAGCGAACUUUCCAGAGAUGGAUUGGUGCCUUCGGGAACGCUGAUACAGGUGCUGCAUGGCUGUCGUCAGCUCGUGUCGUGAGAUGUUGGGUUAAGUCCCGUAACGAGCGCAACCCCUAUCGUUAGUUGCCAGCAAGUUAUGUUGGGGACUCUAGCGAGACUGCCGGCGUAAGCCGCGAGGAAGGUGGGGGAUGACGUCAAAUCAUCAUGGCCCUUAUGCCCAGGGGCUACACACGUGGCUACAAUGGCAGGGUACAAAGAGUCGCUAAGCCGCGAGGGUAGAGGCU